rnacentral:snRNA from 1 species
GUGCUCGCUUUGGCAGGAUAUAUACUAAAAUUGGAACGAUACAGAGAAGAUUAGCAUGGCCCCUGCACAAGGAUGACAUCCAGAUUCGUGAAGCGUUCCAUAUUUUU